GCAACUCAAAGAUUGCGGGGAGAGAAAAGAGCAAGAGAUGUCUAUAGCUACCUCCACCCCUUUCAUCAAGAUCAAGCUCUCCCCCUCCCCUCAUCCUCCUCCCAUGCACUCUUUGAGGCAAUUCACCGUUGUUAGGAGCUCUAAAGCUGACGGUCCUCUGAGGAGACCCGGAGCGCCGUCUCUCUCCCCUCCCCCGGCCAUCAAACCUGUUGCGCCAUCUCAGCCACCCGUGAAACCUGUG
rnacentral:misc_RNA from 1 species